AGAGUUUGAUCAUGGCUCAGGAUGAACGCUGGCGGCGUGCUUAACACAUGCAAGUCGAACGAAGCGCCUGAGAAUGAUUCUUCGGAUGAAGUCUUUUGUGACUGAGUGGCGGACGGGUGAGUAACGCGUGGGUAACCUGCCUCACACAGGGGGAUAACAGUUGGAAACGACCGCUAAUACCGCAUAACCCGCUGGUGCCGCAUGGCACUGACGGAAAAGAUUUAUCGGUGUGAGAUGGACCCGCGUCUGAUUAGCCAGUUGGCAGGGUAACGGCCUACCAAAGCGACGAUCAGUAGCCGGCCUGAGAGGGUGAACGGCCACAUUGGGACUGAGACACGGCCCAAACUCCUACGGGAGGCUGCAGUGGGGAAUAUUGCACAAUGGGCGCAAGCCUGAUGCAGCGACGCCGCGUGAGGGAAGAAGUAUCUCGGUAUGUAAACUUCUAUCAGCAGGGAAGAUAGUGAGUGUACCUUUCGAAUAAGCACCGGCUAACUACGUGCCAGCAGCCGCGGUAAUACGUAGGGUGCAAGCGUUAUCCGGAAUUAUUGGGCGUAAAGCGCACGCAGGCGGUCUGUCAAGUCGGAUGUGAAAUCCCCGGGCUCAACCUGGGAACUGCAUUCGAAACUGGCAGGCUAGAGUCUUGUAGAGGGGGGUAGAAUUCCAGGUGUAGCGGUGAAAUGCGUAGAGAUCUGGAGGAAUACCGGUGGCGAAGGCGGCCCCCUGGACGAAGACUGACGCUCAGGUGCGAAAGCGUGGGGAGCAAACAGGAUUAGAUACCCUGGUAGUCCACGCCGUAAACGAUGAGUGCUAGGAGGUUGUGCCCUUGAGGCGUGGCUUCCGGAGCUAACGCGUUAAGCAUCCCGCCUGGGGAGUACGGCCGCAAGGCUAAAACUCAAAGAAAUUGACGGGGGCCCGCACAAGCGGCGGAGCAUGCGGAUUAAUUCGAUGCAACGCGAAGAACCUUACCUGGUCUUGACAUCCACAGAACUUAGCAGAGAUGCUUUGGUGCCUUCGGGAACUGUGAGACAGGUGCUGCAUGGCUGUCGUCAGCUCGUGUCGGGAAAUGUUGGGUUAAGUCCCGCAACGAGCGCAACCCUUAUCCUUUGUUGCCAGCGGUCCGGCCGGGAACUCAAAGGAGACUGCCAGUGAUAAACUGGGGGAAGGUGGGGAUGACGUCAAGUCAUCAUGGCCCUUACGACCAGGGCUACACACGUGCUACAAUGGCAUAUACAAAGAGAAGCGACCUCGCGAGAGCAAGCGGACCUCAUAAAGUAUGUCGUAGUCCGGAUUGGAGUCUGCAACUCGACUCCAUGAAGUCGGAAUCGCUAGUAAUCGUGGAUCAGAAUGCCACGGUGAAUACGUUCCCGGGCCUUGUACACACCGCCCGUCACACCAUGGGAGUGGGUUGCAAAAGAAGUAGGUAGCUUAACCUUCGGGAGGGCGCUUACCACUUUGUGAUUCAUGACUGGGGUGAAGUCGUAACAAGGUAACCGUAA
rnacentral:rRNA from 1 species